rnacentral:rRNA from 1 species
UACGAGGGGGGCGAGCGUUGUUCGGAAUUAUUGGGCGUAAAGGGUGCGUAGGCGGUUUGGUAAGUCUUAUGUGAAAUCUACAGGCUCAACUUGUAGUCUGCAUGAGAAACUGCCGGGCUUGAGUAUGGGAGAGGUGAGUGGAAUUCCUGGUGUAGCGGUGAAAUGCGCAGAUAUCAGGAGGAACACCGGUGGCGAAGGCGGGUCUCUGGGCCGGUACCGACGCUGAGGAGCGAAAGCGUGGGGAGCGAACAGG